rnacentral:rRNA from 1 species
AUUGAACGCUGGCGGCAGGCCUAACACAUGCAAGUGGAACGGUAACAGGAAGACGCUUGCUUCUUUGCUGACGAGUGGCGGACGGGUGAGUAAUGUCUGGGAAACUGCCUGAUGGAGGGGGAUAACUACUGGAAACGGUAGCUAAUACCGCAUAACGUCGCAAGACCAAAGAGGGGGACCUUCGGGCCUCUUGCCAUCGGAUGUGCCCAGAUGGGAUUAGCUAGUAGGUGGGGUAACGGCUCACCUAGGCGACGAUCCCUAGCUGGUCUGAGAGGAUGACCAGCCACACUGGAACUGAGACACGGUCCAGACUCCUACGGGAGGCAGCAGUGGGGAAUAUUGCACAAUGGGCGCAAGCCUGAUGCAGCCAUGCCGCGUGUAUGAAGAAGGCCUUCGGGUUGUAAAGUACUUUCAGCGGGGAGGAAGGGAGUAAAGUUAAUACCUUUGCUCAUUGACGUUACCCGCAGAAGAAGCACCGGCUAACUCCGUG